rnacentral:rRNA from 1 species
GGCGAGCUAAGUGCCGGAUGUGAUUUCUGGAAGGCAUCUUCUGGAACUUAAAGUCGGGGACCGUAAGGCCUGACGCUUCUUGAUAAGCCCGCGGCCUAUCAGCUAGUUGGUGAGGUAACGGCUCACCAAGGCUAAGACGGGUAGCUGGUCUGAGAGGACGACCAGCCACACUGGAACUGAGACACGGUCCAGACACCUACGGGUGGCAGCAGUCGAGAAUUUUUCUCAAUGGGGGAAACCCUGAAGGAGCGACGCCGCGUGGGGGAUGAAUGGCUUCGGCCCGUAAACCCCUGUCAUUUGCGAUCAAACCUCAUAGCCUAACACGCUGUGAGCUGAUAGUAGCGGAAGAGGAAGGGACGGCUAACUCUGUGCCAGCAGCCGCGGUAAUACAGAGGUCCCAAGCGUUGUUCGGAUUCACUGGGCGUAAAGGGUGCGUAGGCGGUCGGGUAAGUCUGAUGUGAAAAGCUCGGAGCUCAACUCCGAAAUGGCAUCGGAUACUAUUCGGCUAGAGGAAUGGAGGGGA